GCUGGAAUGGCCGAGUCGUUAAGGCGAGUGAUUUGAAUCAUGUUGCCCAAACAUGGCAAAUAUCACUUGGGAUUUUCCCGCGUAGGUUCAAAUCCUGCUUCCAGCG